AAGACUAUAGACCUGCGGAGUACCUGCGGAAGGAUCAUUACAUGAUUUGAGGGGGCUCACGUCCCCUCAUCCAACCCACAAACCCCGAGGAACUUUUAUGUCGAGUGGUUCGGCGCUCUCUUUGAGAGCCGCCCCUCAAACGCAUCGCAGGCCUUUCGUGAAGGUCUGAUGUGUCACAUCGUGAGUAUUAAAACUUUCAACAACGGAUCUCU
rnacentral:misc_RNA from 1 species